CCACUCCCAUUUUCUAUAAGGGUCCUGGAUGCAGAGUGUUGAAACUUGAAGGCUUUUGGCUCCAUUCUAGAGCUUGUCCUGUAAAAAUAGCACCACAGCUGAAAUCAUUCCCAAAAUAAACUUGGGAGCCAUGCUGCAAGCUCAGCAGUCACUGUCUGUGCGAAGUGGGCACCGCGCUUCACUCAGGAUCCAUGGCUGCCGAGGGCACCUGCCAAGCUCAGUUGCAAAGAAAAUACUAAUAAAUGAAUAAUUAAACCAAACAUGGAAUAAUUCUCCAGCUAGAAAUGGAAAAUAUGAACUAUUUAUAUCUGGACUAAGAAAACAUCUUUUAAAAUGUUUCUGGAAUGAUUUGA
rnacentral:lncRNA from 1 species